rnacentral:sRNA from 1 species
GGUCAGGGGCGCGUCGGAACGGUCGGUGGCUGCUUAGUCUCAUCCGAGAGUCUAAUCUCUUUGUACUGCUUUUUGAUUUUUCAAAUCAAAAAGAAGGGGGUCGAUUUAGGCUCCUUCCCUUCCACUGCAUAGCUGCGCUAGCAGGUACUAUGAGCCCUCUGUCCCACGCAUCUAACCAGCUCGCGUGGUUCACCGGUUCCACCGAAAACUCUCAUUUGUUGAAGCGGAGCAUAGUGCGCUUUAGGCGCCGAGCGAGAAACGUCUCUUUCUUCUUUCGUUUCGGUUUAUUCACUGAUCUGAAACUUAGCACUUGUUUUCUUAUUGAUUCCAGGGGCGGCGGCGUUCUUGAAUGAAGUCUAUCCGAACCUAAUUAGCACUUCUCAGAUCAGGCUAGGCCUCUCCAGCGGAGGCUGGGCGCCGGGGCCCUGGAUGCGCUAGCGAUCGGCACAUAGGGGGUGGUUGCCCGGGUUUCUCGGCCUGGUAUCCUGCACCUCGCGUUCAUGAUAUCUACAUUCAACUGUGCCCCGGAGACACGGUCGAAGCACGCCCGCCCAGUGUGCUUCUUUCACGACAUGCUCUGGUCCCGGGUGUCUUCCAGUGGUCUUCUAGCCUUAGAAGAAGUCGUGUCCGUCCCGGACAUCUGCAACGUCCUCCCACGCUUUUUUAUUCAACAGAUAUAUAGGACAAACUUAAGGAAAAGACUGACCCAUUCGGUGACUUUCGCGGUCGCCCUCACUAAACCGACUUGAAUCUGAACUACGAUUCAGAUCGAGUCUUACCGAAAUCGGAUUUCCUUUUCGUGCCAUAUGCGCUUAGACUUUAUUGACUUUUUCCCCUUUUUUCUUCCCGGUUUAAUAUUUGUUCUCGAAAGUCUUCGUUUCCGUGUAGAAGCAAACUCUCAAAAUUGUUGACCAACCUUUCCUUCAAUGAUAGAGGCAAGAAAACUUUCAGGCUUACUAUAACCAACCUCACAGAUCCCACUCCAUCUUUUACACCGAUGUAUCGUACUCUCUCGACCAGGUCAUCAUAAGAAAAGACUGCUAAAUCUUUCCGAAGUGAGAUAAGGAGGGAAGGCGCGCUACAACUAACAUAACAGCCAGCUGAAAAACGCUAGCUAGCUAGGCUAGCUAGCAAUGGCUUUCUCUUAUAGGGGCUCGCUUCUUCAAGCUCCGCCCAACCUAUACAAGGUGCUGCUCGCUUUCUCUCAGCCACCAGUGGCUUAUGUAGUGGUCGGCAUUCCUACGUGCUCCUCUUUGCCCCCUACUUAAGAAUCCAAAGGUCACCUUUGGCUGUUGUCUUGACGCUUUGGUUACGAAAGUAGCCGGGGUCUAGGUUUAUGGAUGGAUUUAGUCAGCGAAAGUCCCUCAAACUCAAUCAAUAUCAACAACAUGUCGUGACCGGUUAGGCUUGGUUUAUUUUGUCAGAAAAUAAAGUAGGUUUCGGGGGUGGGUUCAUUGAUUAGUACACCUCCGGUGCUGAUAAGGUCGGGACCGUGGUCGUCCGUCUCCGGUUUGCCGGCCGAUAAGAUUUCUGAGAUUGACCAGCCAGCUGGGUUGGUUUGGCUAUUCCUUUCUAUUGAAAAGAAGGAGUCAGCUGUCUGCGCGAGUCACCUUCUUCUAGGCUCCGCUGGACGACACGGCAUUCUCGUUUAAAGAUAGGCCGGCCGCACUUGUGAUGGUUCCCAAAGAUCCAAUAUGACCACUUAGGUCUACGUUGCCACGAUAUUGUUCUAUGGAAGCGGGCGGGCUGUUAGAAGUUCGGCCCGGUUUUUUUUGGUGUCGUAGGGGAGGGAUUGACCUUUUUAACGCAUAUUCAGUCGUACCGGCAUGGCCCCACUGAUUUCUUUUCGAUCGGAGCAUCAAGCAGCGCAACCCGGUUCUACUUGACUAAGCCCCGUGCUCGUCCAGGGAGGGAG